UUUUCGCCUGAAGCCAACAGGAUGAGAACCUCCGAAGGAGGUUUGAGCCGGGCGAAGCGAGACAACGUUGCUUCAGCAACGGCCCGAAGGGCGGCUCAACGAGCCGUAAUCCUACUCGCUACCA
rnacentral:sRNA from 1 species